ACGCUCGACACCUACGGGGGGCAGCAGUGGGGAAUAUUGCACAAUGGGGGAAACCCUGAUGCAGCGACGCCGCGUGAAGGAAGAAGUAUCUCGGUAUGUAAACUUCUAUCAGCAGGGAAGAAAGUGACGGUACCUGACUAAGAAGCCCCGGCUAACUACGUGCCAGCAGCCGCGGUAAUCUGAGGCGGGCGUGGCGAAGGC
rnacentral:rRNA from 1 species